GAAAUUUGCAAAGAUUAUGAUCUGAUGAUGAUGAUGUGGAGAUGAUGUGCGAGGUUACGUCACGUGACCACCACUACUACUACGACCCGUGACACACACGGGUUGACGCCUCCAGCACCCUUUGGGGAUCUCGCGACGCCUUGAUCGACGAUCACGAUGACAUGCUUGACUACGAGGGCUGGGAUUGCGCGUCUUCACUACAGGUCGACGAUUACGACGACGACACCAUGCCUGAUUGGGACUGCGCAUACUGCGCCGCUGGUCGUUGCACUCGGCGGCAGCAGUCGGUGGAAUGUCUACUAUAGCGCGGGAGCAGACGGUACGUUGAUUGGACCGAACCCGUCAGACAUGA